CAAUAUUUUUUUCUCCAGUGGGGACUGCUGACCUGAAGCAAUCCUAGGGUCUCUAGAUGCUUUAACCCAGGCCAAC
rfam:Myotis brandtii contig179629, whole genome shotgun sequence.